rnacentral:misc_RNA from 1 species
UACGGAGGAUCCAAGCGUUAUCCGGAAUUAUUGGGUUUAAAGGGUCCGUAGGUGGGUGCAUAAGUCAGUGGUGAAAGUCUGCAGCUUAACUGUAGAACUGUCAUUGAUACUGUUUACCUUGAGUAAUUAUGAAGUGGUUAGAAUAUGUAGUGUAGUGGUGAAAUGCAUAGAUAUUACAUAGAAUACCGAUUGCGAAGGCAGAUCACUAAUAAUUCACUGACGCUGAUGGACGAAAGCGUAGGUAGCGAACAGG